rnacentral:rRNA from 1 species
AGAGGGGGCGAGCGUUGUUCGGAAUUACUGGGCGUAAAGGGCGCGUAGGCGGCCUGUUAAGUCGAACGUGAAAUCCCCGGGCUCAACCCGGGAACUGCGUCCGAGACUGGCAGGCUCGAAUCCGGGAGAGGGAUGUGGAAUUCCAGGUGUAGCGGUGAAAUGCGUAGAUAUCUGGAGGAACACCGGUGGCGAAGGCGGCAUCCUGGACCGGCAUUGACGCUGAGGCGCGAAAGCCAGGGGAGCAAACGGGAUUAGAUACCCCGGUAGUCCUGGCCCUAAACGAUGAAUGCUUGGUGUGGUGGGUAUCGAUCCCUGCCGUGCCGAAGCUAACGCAUUAAGCAUUCCGCCUGGGGAGUACGGUCGCAAGGCUG